rnacentral:rRNA from 1 species
UACGUAGGGGGCAAGCGUUGUCCGGAUUUAUUGGGCGUAAAGAGCGUGUAGGCGGCUUUACAGGUCCGUUGUGAAAACUCGAGGCUCAACCUCGAGACGCCGGUGGAAACCGUAAAGCUAGAGUCCGGAAGAGGCGAGUGGAAUUCCUGGUGUAGCGGUGGAAUGCGCAGAUAUCAGGAGGAACACCAACGGCGAAGGCAGCUCGCUGGGACGGUACUGACGCUGAGGCGCGAAAGCGUGGGGAGCGAACAGA